AUAAAGUAUAUUAAAUGGCAUAAAAACCUAUUAUUCUACCAAUACUCAACUUUGCAAAUUGUAUUUGAUACCAAAAUUAUCCUUUGUUUCUCCAAUCAAAUGACGAAAGACGAUAAAUCAAAAUUCGAUGAGAUACAGGAUUAUAUCCUUUACCAAAAAUAUCCAUCAUCUAUGUCUUCCAAUAAAGGCUUAAGACGCAAUCUGCGAGUUCAGGCCUCGAGAUAUAAAAUUUGUAAGGGUAAAAUGCAUCACCAUUCUCAUAAUGGUUAAGUUGUUUUGGACCUUGACCGAAGAAUUCAACUUCUUCAAAUGGUUCACAGUGGAUGUGAUACUAUUGUGUCAGCAAUAUCUCUUGCUGCCCAUUUUGGCAUCACCAAGACUUACAGCAAAUUGGCUGAUAGUGAAACAAUUUUAGAUUGUAACAGAAGAGUUUAACUUCUUUAAGAAGUUAUAGUGGAGUGGAUGUGAUACUAAUGAGGCAAAAUCUUUAGCUGAUUAUUUUGGUAUCACCAAGACUCACAGCAACUUGACUAGUAGCUUCUGGUGGCCAAAUAUGAAAUUGGAUGUGGUUAAUUUUGUAAAAUGUUGUGAUAUUUGCCAGCGUAGCAACACAAGAUUUGACAAAACUAACAAUGAGUUGCAUUCAAUUCCUAUUCCAACAAAGUCCCCUUCAAUCUCAGGUAAAAAUUG